CUCUCCUCCUCCUCCUAAAGUUGUUCCUCUACCCUCCACUCUCUCCCCUAACCUCCUAAAGGUGUUCCUCUCCCUCCACUCUCUCCUCCUAACCUCCUAAAGAUGUUCCUCUACCCUCCACUCUCUCCUCCUAACCUCCUAAAGAUGUUCCUCUACCCUCCACUCUCUCCUCCUAACCUCCUAAAGGUGUUCCUCUACCCUCCACUCUCUCCUCCUAACCUCCUAAAGAUGUUCCUCUACCCUCCACUCUCUCCUCCUAACCUCCUAAAGGUGUUCCUCUACCCUCCACUCUCUCCUCCUAACCUCCUAAAGUCGUUCCUCUACCGUCCACUCUCUCCUCCUAACCUCCUAAAGUCGUUCCUCUACCGUCCACUCUCUCCUCCUAACCUCCUAAAGUCGUUCCUCUACCCUCCAAUCUCUCUCCUCCUAAAGAUGUUCCUCUCCCCUCCACUCUCUCUCCUCCUAAAGUUGUUCCUCUACCCUCCACCCUCUCUCCUCCUAAAGAUGUCCCUCUACCCUCCACUCUCUCUCCUCCUAAAGAUGUUCCUCUACCCUCCACCCUCUCUCCUCCUAAAGAUGUCCCUCUACCCUCCACUCUCUCUCCUCCUAAAGAUGUUCCUCUACCCUCCACCCUCUCUCCUCCUAAAGAUGUCCCUCUACCCUCCACUCUCUCUCCUCCUAAAGUUGUUCCUCUACCCUCCACCCUCUCUCCUCCUAAAGAUGUCCCUCUACCCUCCACUCUCUCUCCUCCUAAAGAUGUUCCUCUACCCUCCACUCUCUCUCCUCCUAAAGUUGUUCCUCUACCCUCCACUCUCUCUCCUAAAGUUG
ensembl:lncRNA